AAUUAAUGAGCUUGUAUAAGUUUAUAUUUUGAAAGUAUAAGAAAGAGAUAAAGACUCUAUUAAUUU
rnacentral:tRNA from 1 species